rnacentral:rRNA from 1 species
GACGUAGGGCGCGAGCGUUGUCCGGAUUUAUUGGGCGUAAAGAGCUCGUAGGCGGCUUGUCGCGUCGUCCGUGAAAACCUGCAGCUCAACUGCAGGCUUGCGGUCGAUACGGGCAGACUAGAGUGCGGUAGGGGAGAAUGGAACUCCUGGUGUAGCGGUGAAAUGCGCAGAUAUCAGGAGGAACACCGGUGGCGAAGGCGGCACGCUGGACCCUCACUGACGCUGAGGCGCGAAAGCCAGGGGAGCGAACGGG